rnacentral:misc_RNA from 1 species
GUGAAUCAUCGAAUCUUUGAACGCACCUUGCGCUCCCUGGUAUUCCGGGGAGCAUGUCUGUUUGAGUGUCCUGAACCCUUCAAACCGUCGAUUGUUAUGAUUGACGGAUUUGGAUUUUGAGCGCUGCUGGUCGAAAGACGGAGCUCGCUUGUAAAAUAUUAGCAUCCAAUAGUCGAUCGGCUUGACUCAGUGUAAUAGACUAUUUGCUGAGGAACGAAAGUGCCGAGGGACGAUGGGCGCUCCAAACGAAAAAAGUCAACUAUAUAUUAGACCUCAGAUCAGACAGGAUUACCCGCUGAA